AUUGAACGCUGGCGGCAGGCCUAACACAUGCAAGUCGAACGGAUGAACGGAUCUUGCUCCUGGAUUCAGCGUCGGACGGGGGAGUAAUGUAUAUGAAUCUGCCUGGUAGUGGGGGAUAACGUCCGGCGACGGGCGCUAAUAUCCCAUACGCGCUGUACGAGAGAGUGGGGGAUCUUCGGACCCCACGCGCUCAGGUGAGCCGAGGUCGGAUUAGCUAGUUGGUGGGGUAAAGGCCUACCAAGGCGACGAUCCGUAGCUGGUCUGAGAGGAGGAUCAGACACACUGGAACUGAGACACGGUCCAGACUCCUACGGGAGGCAGCAGUGGGGAAUAUUGGACAAUGGGCGAAAGCCUGAUCCAGCAAUGCCGCGUGUGUGAAGAAGGUCUUCGGAUUGUAAAGCACUUUUGUUUGGAAGGAAGUGCAGUGCGUUAAUACCUUGCGGUUUUGACGUUACCGGCAGAAUAAGCACCGGCUAACUUCGUG
rnacentral:rRNA from 1 species